rnacentral:rRNA from 1 species
UCCGGCCUACGGGGCGCAGCAGUGAGGAAUAUUGGUCAAUGGUCGGGAGACUGAACCAGCCAAGCCGCGUGAGGGAUGAAGGUACAGAGUAUCGUAAACCUCUUUUGUCAGGGAACAAAGGCGGGGACGCGUCCCCGGAUGAGUGUACCUGAAGAAAAAGCAUCGGCUAACUCCGUGCCAGCGGCCGCGGUAAUACGGAGGAUGCGAGCGUUAUCCGGAUUUAUUGGGUUU